GUGCUGUCUUUGGCAGCACAUGUACUAAAAUCGGAAUGAUUCAGAUUAGCAUGGCCCUUGCCCAAGGGUGACACGUAAAUUCAGGUAGCAUUCCAUGUUUUA
ensembl:snRNA U6 U6 spliceosomal RNA